GCAGGGGAAGCAACAUGAAGUCACAGACCCAGGUCCUCAUAUCCCUGCUGCUUUGGGUGUCUGGUACCUGUGCAGACAUCGUGAUGACCCAGUCUCCAUCCUCCCUGGCUGUGUCAGCAGGAGAGAAGGUCACCAUUAGCUGCAAAUCCAGCCAGAGCCUUACUUUAGGAGGCACAAACUUCUUGUCCUGGUACCAGCAGAAACCAGGGCAGUCCCCUAAGCUGCUGAUCUACUGGGCAUCUACUAGGCACACUGGGGUCCCUGAUCGCUUCACAGGCAGUGGAUCUGGGACAGAUUUCACUCUCUCAAUCAGCAGUGUGCAGGCUGAAGACCUGGCAGUUUAUUACUGUCUGCAGAGUAAAAGUACUCCUCCCACA